rnacentral:rRNA from 1 species
GGCCUACCAUGGUGGUAACGGGUAACGGGGUGUUAGGGCACGACACCGGAGAGGGAGCCUGAGAAGCGGCUACCACAUCCAAGGAAGGCAGCAGGCGCGCAAAUUCCCCAAUCCCGACACGGGGAGGUAGUGACAAUAAAUAACAAUACAGGGUUCUUUUGGAUCUUGUAAUUGGAAUGAGUACAAUCUAAAUCUCUUAACGAGGAACAAUUGGAGGGCAAGUCUGGUGCCAGCAGCCGCGGUAAUUCCAGCUCCAAUAGCGUAUAUUAAAGUUGUUGCAGUUAAAAAGCUCGUAGUUGAAUUUCGGGAUCAAUAUAUCGGUCGUGCCUUUGGUACGUACUGGUAUCAUUGAUUUCUCCUUUCUGACGAAUCAUGAUGUCAUUAAUUUGGUGUUAUGAGGAGUUAGGACUGUUACUUUGAAAAAAUUAGAGUGUUUAAAGCAGGCAUUAGCUUGAAUACAUUAGCAUGGAAUAAUGAAAUAGGACGUUUGACCCUAUUUUGUUGGUUUUUAGGAUCGACGUAAUGAUUAAUAGGGAUAGUUGGGGGCAUUAGUAUUCAAUUGUCAGAGGUGAAAUUCUUGGAUUUAUUGAAGACUAACUACUGCGAAAGCAUUUGCCAAGGAUGUUUUCAUUAAUCAAGAACGAAAGUUAGGGGAUCGAAGACGAUCAGAUACCGUCGUAGUCUUAACCAUAAACUAUGCCGACUAGGGAUCGGAUGAUGUUAAUUUUAUAAUGACUCAUUCGGCGCCUUACG